UACGAAGGGGGCUAGCGUUGCUCGGAAUCACUGGGCGUAAAGGGCGCGUAGGCGGGCCUUUAAGUCAGGGGUGAAAUUCUGGAGCUCAACUCCAGAACUGCCUUUGAUACUGAAGAUCUUGAGUUCGGGAGAGGUGAGUGGAACUGCGAGUGUAGAGGUGAAAUUCGUAGAUAUUCGCAAGAACACCAGUGGCGAAGGCGGCUCGCUGGCCCGAUACUGACGCUGAGGCACGAAAGCGUGGGGAGCAAACAGG
rnacentral:rRNA from 1 species